GCCUGGGUGGCUCAGUCGGUUAAGCGGCUGACUUCGGCUCAGGUCAUGAUCUCACGGUCCGUGAGUUCGAGCCCCACGUCAGGCU
rnacentral:tRNA from 1 species